rnacentral:misc_RNA from 1 species
CCAAUAGCGUAUAUUAAAGUUGUUGCAGUUAAAAAGCUCGUAGUUGAAUUUCGGAGUUUGUCGGUUGGUCGGGCUUCAUUGUCCGCACUGACCUGAUGGAUUCCUACCUUCUGAAUAACCAGCAUGCUAUUAAAUUAGUGCGUUGGGGAAGCAGAGCUAUUACCUUGAAAAAAUUAGAGUGCUUAAAGCAGGCUUAUGCUUGAAUAGAUUAGCAUGGAAUAAUAAAAUAGGACGGCAUGGUUCUAUUUUGUUGGUUUCUAGGAUCACCGUAAUGAUUAAUAGGGAUAGUUGGGGGCAUUAGUAUUCAAUUGUCAGAGGUGAAAUUCUUGGAUUUAUUGAAGACUAACUUCUGCGAAAGCAUUUGCCAAGGAUGUUUUCAUUAAUCAAGAACGAAAGUUAGGGGAUCGAAGACGAUCAGAUACCGUCGUAGUCUUAACCAUAAACUAUGCCGACUAGGGAUCGGACGAUGUUAAUUUUUUAAUGACUCGUUCGGCGCCUUACG